rnacentral:rRNA from 1 species
GCUGGAAUCGCUAGUAAUCGCGAAUCAGAAUGUCGCGGUGAAUACGUUCCCGGGUCUUGUACACACCGCCCGUCACACCAUGGGAGUCGGAAAUGCCCGAAGUCAGUGACCUAACCGAAAGGGAGGAGCUGCCGAAGGUGGAGCCGGUAACUGGGGUGAAGUCGUAACAAGGUAAC